rnacentral:rRNA from 1 species
AUUGAACGCUGGCGGCGUGCCUUACACAUGCAAGUCGAACGUGAAAGUUCCUUCGGGGACGAGUAAAGUGGCGCACGGGUGAGUAACGCGUGGAUAAUCUACCCGAAAGUACGGAAUAACAGUCGGAAACGAUUGCUAAUACCGAAUACGCAGUCUCGGAUGCCUUACGGAUUGGAAAGAAGACCUCUGUUUAUGUUUUCGCUUUCGGAUGAGUCCGCGUACCAUUAGCUUGUUGGUGAGGUAAAAGCUCACCAAGGCAACGAUGGUUAACCGGUCUGAGAGGAUGAUCGGUCACACCGGAACUGGAACACGGUCCGGACUCCUACGGGAGGCAGCAGUGGGGAAUAUUGCGCAAUGGGCGAAAGCCUGACGCAGCGACGCCGCGUGAGGGACGAAGGUCUUCGGAUUGUAAACCUCUGUCAGCGGGGAAGAACGGUCACGGUGCCAAUCAGCCGUGAAUUGACGGUACCCGCAAAGGAAGGACCGGCUAACUCCGUGCCAGCAGCCGCGGUAAUACGGAGGGUCCGAGCGUUAAUCGGAAUUACUGGGCGUAAAGCGCUCGUAGGCGGACAUGCAAGUCAAGGGUGAAAUCCCCGCGCUCAACGUGGGAACUGCCUUUGAAACUGCCUGACUGGAGUAUGUGAGAGGACAGUGGAAUUCCCGGUGUAGGAGUGAAAUCCGU